rnacentral:rRNA from 1 species
AAUGCGGGCAAGCCCUUACACAUUGCAAAGUCGAGCGGAUGAAGGGAGCUUGCUCCUGGAUUCAGCGGCGGACGGGUGAGUAAUGCCUAGGAAUCUGCCUGGUAGUGGGGGAUAACGUCCGGAAACGGGCGCUAAUACCGCAUACGUCCUGAGGGAGAAAGUGGGGGAUCUUCGGACCUCACGCUAUCAGAUGAGCCUAGGUCGGAUUAGCUAGUUGGUGGGGUAAAGGCCUACCAAGGCGACGAUCCGUAACUGGUCUGAGAGGAUGAUCAGUCACACUGGAACUGAGACACGGUCCAGACUCCUACGGGAGGCAGCAGUGGGGAAUAUUGGACAAUGGGCGAAAGCCUGAUCCAGCCAUGCCGCGUGUGUGAAGAAGGUCUUCGGAUUGUAAAGCACUUUAAGUUGGGAGGAAGGGCAGUAAGUUAAUACCUUGCUGUUUUGACGUUACCAACAGAAUAAGCACCGGCUAACUUCGUGCCAGCAGCCGCGGUAAUACGAAGGGUGCAAGCGUUAAUCGGAAUUACUGGGCGUAAAGCGCGCGUAGGUGGUUCAGCAAGUUGGAUGUGAAAUCCCCGGGCUCAACCUGGGAACUGCAUCCAAAACUACUGAGCUAGAGUACGGUAGAGGGUGGUGGAAUUUCCUGUGUAGCGGUGAAAUGCGUAGAUAUAGGAAGGAACACCAGUGGCGAAGGCGACCACCUGGACUGAUACUGACACUGAGGUGCGAAAGCGUGGGGAGCAAACAGGAUUAGAUACCCUGGUAGUCCACGCCGUAAACGAUGUCGACUAGCCGUUGGGAUCCUUGAGAUCUUUAGUGGCGCAGCUAACGCGAUAAGUCGACCGCCUGGGGAGUACGGGCCGCAAGGUUAAAAACUCAAAAUGAAUUGACGGGGGGCCCCGCACAAGCGGUGGAGCAUGUGGUUUUAAUUCGAAGCAACGCGAAGAACCCUUACCUGGGCCUUUGACAUGCUGGAGAACUUUUCCAGGAGAUGGGAUUUGGGUGCCCUUCCGGGAACUCCAGACACAGGGUGCUGCAAUGGGCUGUCGGUCAGGCUUCGGUGUCGUUGGAGAUGUUUGGGGUUUAAGUCCCCGUACGGAGCGCAACCCUUGUCCUUAGGUUAACCAAGGCACCUCGGGGUGGCCACUCUCUUAGGGAGAACUGGCCGAUGGACAAAACCGGGAGAGGGAAAAGGGU